rnacentral:sRNA from 1 species
UCAUCAUCGCCAUCAUCCUGACUAAGUCUUUCGGGAGGUUUACGUGUAACCGAGAGACAAGGAAAACUCUCGGUGGUUAAGUCCAAAUACAAAAUAUUUAGACCCUCGAGAGACCAGAAUCUCUCGGGGGUUUUUUAAU